UGGGGAAUAUUGGACAAUGGGCGCAAGCCUGAUCCAGCCAUGCCGCGUGAGUGAUGAAGGCCCUAGGGUUGUAAAGCUCUUUCACCGGUGAAGAUAAUGACGGUAACCGGAGAAGAAGCCCCGGCUAACUUCGUGCCAGCAGCCGCGGUAAUACGAAGGGGGCUAGCGUUGUUCGGAUUUACUGGGCGUAAAGCGCACGUAGGCGGACUUUUAAGUCAGGGGUGAAAUCCCGGGGCUCAACCCCGGAACUGCCUUUGAUACUGGAAGUCUUGAGUAUGGUAGAGGUGAGUGGAAUUCCGAGUGUAGAGGUGAAAUUCGUAGAUAUUCGGAGGAACACCAGUGGCGAAGGCGGCUCACUGGACGAUUACUGACGCUGAGGUGCGAAAGCGUGGGGAGCAAACAGG
rnacentral:rRNA from 1 species